rnacentral:rRNA from 1 species
UACGUAGGGUGCAAGCGUUGUCCGGAUUCAUUGGGUUUAAAGGGAGCGUAGGUGGCCUUAUAAGUCAGUGGUGAAAUCCUGUUGCUUAACAACAGAAUUGCCAUUGAUACUGUAGGGCUUGAGUACAGAUGCCGUUGGCGGAAUAUGACAUGUAGUGGUGAAAUACAUAGAGAUGUCAUAGAACACCGAUUGCGAAGGCAGCUGACGAAACUGUAACUGACACUGAGGCUCGAAAGUGCGGGGAUCAAACAGG